UCUGCUGAAAGCUGGAGUUGCUGCAUCUGCACUCCAAGAAGUGAAGAAAGAACUGACUGCGGGCAUUAUGAGGGCCAAAGCCACAUACGCCCAGAAAAUUCAAGGUCACUUCACCACCAUUGAUACCUGGCACAUGUUGAAGGGCAUCAAGUGCAUCAAUAACUGCAACAUUAAGGAUGUACAAUGCCAAAGGGAGCCCUCACUGUCAGAUGCACUCAAUAAGUUCUACGCCCGCUUUGAGGAUCUGCUUUGAGGAUACUUGUGCCACCACCUGGUGACACGUCUCUUUGUGUGACAACAGCAGAUGUGAAGAAGACCCUCCAGGAAAUCACCUAACCCUAACCCCGGAAACAUCCCAGGGCAGGUACUGAGGGACUGCACACAUCAACUGCCUGAGGUGCUGAUGUGGAAUUGGCAGACAUCUUUAACACCUCACUGUCACUGGCAUCUGUGCCCACCUGCUUAAAGACCACCACUAUUGUCCCCAAGGGCUCCACAGUGACAGGCCUGAAUGACUACCGACCUAUAGCCUUAACAUCAGUAGUCAUGAAGUGCUUCGAGAGGCUAGUCAUGACCCACAUUAAAGACUUCGUCCACUUCACUGUGGAACCCCAUCAGUAUGCCUACAGGAAGAACCGUUCCACUGCUGAUGCUAUCUCAUCAGUGAUCCACACAGCCCUCACCCACCUGGAGAGCAGGAACUCCUACAUCCGUCUGCUCUUUCUGGAUUUUUCCUCAGCCUUCAACACCGUCAACCCCACAGACCCUGGUGCAGAAGCUCUGCUCUCUUGGACAGAGUCCCACACUGGGGAACUGGAUUCUGGACUUCUUGACCAACAGACCUCAGAUUGUCAGGAUCCACAACAACGUCUCCUCCUUCAUCACCCUUAACACUGGCUUGCGGCAGGGCAGAGUGCUGAGACCCGUCCUCUUCACUCUGAUGACGUAUAACUGCUUGGC